GACGAACGCUAGCGGCGUGCUUAACACAUGCAAGUCGAACGGCAACGCCCUGCUUUUGUGGUGUGCUCGAGUGGCGAACGGGUGAGUAACACGUGAGUAACCUGCUCUUGACUUUGGGAUAACUUCAGGAAACUGGGGCUAAUAUCGGAUAGGAGCUCCUGUUGCAUGGUGGGGGGUGGAAAGUUUCGGCGGUUGGGGAUGGAUUCGCGGCUUAUCAGCUUGCUGGUGGGGUAGUGGCUUACCAAGGCUUUGACGGGUAGCCGGCCUGGGAGGGUGACCGGCCUCAUGGGGACUGAGAUACGGCCCAGACGCCUACGGUAGGCAGCAGUGGCGAAUAUUGCACAAUGGGCGGAAGCCGGAUACAGCAACGCCGCGGGCGGGAUGACGGCCUUCGGGGUGUAAACCGCUGUCGCCUGUGACGAAGCGUGAGUGACGGUAAUGGGUAAAGAAGCACCGGCUAACUACGUG
rnacentral:rRNA from 1 species